rnacentral:rRNA from 1 species
UACGAAGGGGGCUAGCGUUGCUCGGAAUCACUGGGCGUAAAGGGUGCGUAGGCGGGUCUUUAAGUCAGGGGUGAAAUCCUGGAGCUCAACUCCAGAACUGCCUUUGAUACUGAAGAUCUUGAGUUCGGGAGAGGUGAGUGGAACUGCGAGUGUAGAGGUGAAAUUCGUAGAUAUUCGCAAGAACACCAGUGGCGAAGGCGGCUCACUGGCCCGAUACUGACGCUGAGGCACGAAGGCGUGGGGAGCAAACAGGG